CAGAGGCAGAUUUCUUUUUCUUAUUUUCCUCACCAAAAAAGGUAGGUGCGUCUUAUAGUCCAGAGCGUCUUAUACUCUGAAAAAUAUGGUAAUCGAAAGCAUGUUUCUCUUUCUUUAGCUACAGGGUGGCAGAUUCCUGUGGGAAUUGUAGCAGGCUUAACCUUGGGAGCUGCGAUACUCUUCCUGAUAUGCUGGUGCUGGAGACAUAGGAUAAUUUUCUAUCAGGAAGUGAGGACUUCGCCUGAUGACUUUCCUUUAGAAAGAGUUUAUGUUUCCUCUGCUUCUGACACAGAAGAAGAUGAGAUUCAAUCAGAAUCGAUGCUCCGAUCCGAAGUAACCUCAGAGGUCAGGACACACUACGAACGGUUGAGACGCCACUGGGUUCUUGAAGUCCCUGGGUUAACAUUGCGCAAGCGAGAAGGGAAGGAAGAGAGUCUCAAAAGGUCUCUGACAUGGUCUGGGCACUUGGAGACCCUGGACCAAGAAGUGUCAAGAUUGAACCAGCUAUCAUGGCCCAAAAGAGAAUAAUAACUGGGCUUGGCUGCAUUCUGAAAGAUACACCGAGCACGACUACCUCUGAUGAAGGAAGAGGAUUAGCUACUUCAAAGUGCCUCCUCCCUGAUUCUUCUUCAUAUAUGUAGCCGAGUCUUGGAAAGAGAUCCAGGAACCCCCUCCCCUUCCCCUCCCUUUUCUUCUCCUCUUGAAAUGUUUACAUUGUCAGGUUUUGCUGCUGGUGCUGCUCUUGAGAGUGGGUGGAAGAGAGAGGGCAAAAGGAGAGAGACGGGAGUGGGAAAUGUAGCACACCAGGUGCAAUAGAAGGAACCGAGGAAGGUGGCGGCACCCAGGUUGACUCAGAACAGGAAUUUCGAUGCUAAGAGUGGAGAGACACUUGAACACUGUGGUGCUGGGCCUUCCAAGGUCUCCUCCAACCCCCGUCCCACUCUUUAUGUAGGACUCCACUUAAGUGGAGUCUACCAGAGCCUUGGUAGUACAGGGGUUUAAGGCACCCUGUUAUUAAGCUUAUUAAGACCAGCUGCCUGCAAUUACUGCAGGGUUCGAAUCUCGCCAAGGCUCAAGGUUGACUCAGCCUUCCAUCCUUUCUAAGGUAGGUGAAAUGAGGACCCAGUUUGUGGGGGCAAUAAGCUGACUUUGUAUAAAUAUACAAAAGGAUGAAGGCUAUUGCUGAGCACAUUGUAAGCCGCCCUGAGUCUUCGGAGAAGGGCGGCAUAUAAAUCAAAUUAAAAAAAAAAAUGACUGACAAAACCAUUUAACGACCUCAACCGGGAGAGCCGGGAUUGCUGUCGUUGAAUGAAGGAUUCUGUUAGGAUGUUGAAUUUAGUAGCUGGAACAGUAAAGUGUCCAAUAGGACAGAACUUCUUCAGAGCUGAAGAAGCUCCUUGGAUGAGAAGCAAAACGUUUUCGAAGAAAAAUCAAGAAAGUCCAGUUGCAUCUUGAAAAAGCACCUUUGGGACAACUGCGACCUGGAUAAUUGAGAAUCUCCAUAGACAAUAGGCCAGGAUACGCGAUUUUACUGGAUUAGUUAGAGAGUGCUGACUCAUGCAUGAGGCAAUAUAUGGUGUAAUUGGUUGCUGUGGAUGUAUUUGUUUGCUUGAUUAUCCAUAGUAUUCUCGGAUGACUUCUCUGACAUCAAAGUUCAAAAGCUUCCCUAUAAUAAUAAGUACUCUUCCUAUAUGAAGUGCCAUUCAAAGUGAAAGAAUCGUGGGAUUCAGGAGUGAAAUUCUCAGGGCUUGCCUUUAGGGCAGAAUCAAUUCACGCGUCUGUUCCUGAUAAACCAGUCAAGAGCCUGGAUAGCUCUGCAGACAAAAGCACUGUAAUUUUAACACCAGCUGUCUGCAAUUAAAGUAAGUUCGAAUCUCGCCAGGCUCAAGGUUGACUCAGCCUUCCAUCCUUUCUAAGGUAGGUAAAAUGAGGACCCAGUUUGUGGGGGCAAUAAGCUGACUUUGUAUAAAAUGUACAAAAGUAUGAAGGCUGUUGCUUAACGCACUGUAAGCCGCCCUGAGUCUCCGGAGAAGGGCGGCAUAUAAAUCAAAAUUUAAAAAAAAAAAAGUGACAUGAAGUACCUCCGAGGCCUCUUGUUAUUUGCCUCAAAGCUCAGAGAUGGUCCUUUUGAAAAAGGCAACUUCUGGGGCUCCAUUGCCCCAUUUUUAAGGAUCCUUAAGGAGAAGAGAGGAAGUGAGAUGACUGGAGAAGAUGUUUUCAUGAUGUUCUUUCUGCUGUUAUUACAGAGUUAUAACUCUAGGUCACUCUCAACACAUCUCAGAUGGAUCACUGUAAUGCCCUCUACAUGAGGGUACCUUUGAAGGGUACCCAGAAACAUCACCUGAUGUAAAAUGUAGUGACACAAGCACUUGUGUAUACCUCUAGAUCAAUACAUGUCACACCUUUGCUCUUUGAGCCACGUACGUUAUCAGUUUGCUUCAGUGGUGGUAUUCACUUACCUUCGCUACCAGUUCGCAAAUGUGAGCGUAUGCGCAGAGCAUCAAAAAUGGGAUGUGAUUACAUCCGGGUGGAUGGGCGGAUCCACCUGCAGCCGGCACUACCAGUUUACCCAAACCAGAUAGAACUGGUUGAAUACAAUCACUGGUUUGCUUCCAGGUUGAAUUCAAGGCAGGGGUGAAAUGCUCCCGGUUCGGACCGGAUCGCCCGAUCCGGUAGCGAUGGCGGUGGGUGGUUCAGAGUACCGGUAGCAAAAAUCCUUGCCCCCCCGAUGCCCAGCUGAGCCGUGCGAUCAUCAGAAGCUUUUUUUUUUUUUACUUUUAAAAG